UCUUGCAAGUGGCAGCAAGUGAACCCGACUCCAGCACCACCUCACUUGAUGAUUUUGUUUCAAGCACUUUUGAGCUUCUCUCCUUUUCUCUCUCUCUGGUUUUGGUUUUGUUUUUCAGUGUUAUUGUUUCUGAAUCUAUGAUCUGUGUGUUACAAACCAUGCCAAACUGUCAAGAAUUCUGAUGAAAAACACAAUAUAAAUAGUGCCUUGCCUUCACAUUCUCACUUUCCCACAUCCAAAAACACAAGACUUUUUAUCGUAAAUUAACAGAUAAACAUCACAAAGUUUGAUACAAUGUCUACAGCUGGUCAGGUUAUCAAGUGCAGAGUGCCAAGGUGAAAAAUCAAUAUGAAUCCUUAUGAGGACGUGAUUUUAUGCGUCUAUUGCGAUGACUUCUCCGGUUGUGAUCUUCAAGCAGAACUAGCUCACAUGAUUAAAUGUCACAAGCACGCACCUGAGGUGCAGGAGCUGAGGACAUCAGACAAUCGCAAGAGAUGCAUGCUCUGUGUGUCCAACAAUGGGUACUAGCAUGCAAAGAUCUUUACUAGUCAAAAAGCUUUAGACAACUAUAUGGACAACGUCCAUCCAAGUUAGGAGGUUUCAUACCCACACUGCGAGAAGAAAAACUACCACAAAGUAUUUUUCAACUAUGAGGAAUACGAAUCCCACAAACUCAUUUGUGGGAAAAAGUGAAGACCAAGUGCAUAACGUAUCAUUUGAAUUUAUUAUAUAUUUUGGACAUAGGUGGGUUACAGUUAAGUGAAUAGAAGGGUUGGCUAAAAAAAAUAAGUUGGUGCUAGGUAAAAACAGAAAUAUAUGUUUAGCCAACUCUUA